rnacentral:rRNA from 1 species
UCGAGGGGCAGCAUCAUCAAAGCUUGCUUUGAUGGAUGGCGACCGGCGCACGGGUGAGUAACACGUAUCCAACCUGCCGACAACACUGGGAUAGCCUUUCGAAAGAAAGAUUAAUACCGGAUGGCAUAAUUAUUCCGCAUGGGAUAAUUAUUAAAGAAUUUCGGUUGUCGAUGGGGAUGCGUUCCAUUAGGCAGUUGGCGGGGUAACGGCCCACCAAACCUACGAUGGAUAGGGGUUCUGAGAGGAAGGUCCCCCACAUUGGAACUGAGACACGGUCCAAACUCCUACGGGAGGCAGCAGUGAGGAAUAUUGGUCAAUGGACGAGAGUCUGAACCAGCCAAGUAGCGUGAAGGAUGACUGCCCUAUGGGUUGUAAACUUCUUUUAUACGGGAAUAAAGUGAGCCACGUGUGGCUUUUUGUAUGUACCGUAUGAAUAAGGAUCGGCUAACUCCGUGCCAGCAGCCGCGGUAAUACGGAGGAUCCGAGCGUUAUCCGGAUUUAUUGGGUUUAAAGGGAGCGUAGGCGGGUUGUUAAGUCAGUUGUGAAAGUUUGCGGCUCAACCGUAAAAUUGCAGUUGAUACUGGCGACCUUGAGUGCAACAGAGGUAGGCGGAAUUCGUGGUGUAGCGGUGAAAUGCUUAGAUAUCACGAAGAACUCCGAUUGCGAAGGCAGCUUACUGGAUUGUAACUGACGCUAAUGCUC